rnacentral:rRNA from 1 species
UGGGGAAUAUUGGACAAUGGGCGAAAGCCUGAUCCAGCCAUGCCGCGUGUGUGAAGAAGGUCUUCGGAUUGUAAAGCACUUUAAGUUGGGAGGAAGGGCAUUAACCUAAUACGUUAGUGUUUUGACGUUACCGACAGAAUAAGCACCGGCUAACUCUGUGCCAGCAGCCGCGGUAAUACAGAGGGUGCAAGCGUUAAUCGGAAUUACUGGGCGUAAAGCGCGCGUAGGUGGUUUGUUAAGUUGGAUGUGAAAUCCCCGGGCUCAACCUGGGAACUGCAUUCAAAACUGACUGACUAGAGUAUGGUAGAGGGUGGUGGAAUUUCCUGUGUAGCGGGGAAAUGCGUAGAUAUAGGAAGGAACACCAGUGGCGAAGGCGACCACCUGGACUAAUACUGACACUGAGGUGCGAAAGCGUGGGGAGCAAACA